rnacentral:rRNA from 1 species
CAACCUGGUUGAUCCUGCCAGUUAGUCAUACCCUUGUCUCAAAGAUUAAGCCAUGCAUGUCUACGUUUAAAUAUCUUACUUUGAAACUGCAGAUGGCUCAUCAUAUCAGUUAUAAUUUAUUUGAUAGUCCCUUACUACUUGGAUAACUGUAGUAGUUCUAGUGCUAAUACAUGCAUCAAUACCCUUCUAGAGU